rnacentral:rRNA from 1 species
GGUCUCUUGUGUUAUGAAAAUAGGAGGUCUAACCUGCCCACUGAAGGACCAAGUAUUGAAGGGCCGCGGUAUUUUGACUGUGCAAAGGUAGCAUAAUCAUUAGUCUUUUAAUUGAGGGCUUGUAUGAAUGGUUGAACGAGGUAAAUACUGUUUUAUAUAAAUAUUGAGUUGAAUUUGGAUUUUAAGUAAAAAUACUUAAAUAAUUUUAAGGGACGAGAAGACCCUAUAGAGUUUAAUAUAUAAAUUUAUAAUAUGGUUAUUUUAUAAUUAUUUAUAUUAUAUUAAAAGUAUAUUUAGUUGGGGUGUUUAGAGAAUAGAUAAAACUUCUUUAUAUUAUGAAUAUAUAUUUAUAGAUAUUAGAUCCAUAAUAUUGUGAUUAUAAGAUAAAAUUACCUUAGGGAUAACAGCAUAAUUUUUUUUGAGAGUUCUUAUCAAGAAAGGAGAUUGUGACCUCGAUGUUGGAUUAAGAUAAAAUUUGGGAGUAGAUGUUCAGGAAUUUAGGUCUGUUCGACCUUUAAAAUCUUACA